rnacentral:rRNA from 1 species
AGAGUUUGAUCAUGGCUCAGGACGAACGCUGACGGUGUGCUUUAGACAUGCAAGUCGAACGAGAAAGCCCUUCGGGGUGAGUACAGUGGCAAACGGGUGAGUAACACGUGGGUGACCUGCCUUCGAGUGGGGGAUAACGUCCCGAAAGGGACGCUAAUACCGCAUGACAUCCUGCCUUUGGAAAGGCGGAGAUCAAAGCCGGGGAUCGCAAGACCUGGCGCUUGAAGAGGGGCCCGCGCCUGAUUAGCUAGUUGGUAGGGUAACGGCCUACCAAGGCGACGAUCAGUAUCCGGCCUGAGAGGGCGGACGGACACACUGGGACUGAGACACGGCCCAGACUCCUGCGGGAGGCAGCAGUUAGGAAUCUUGGGCAAUGGGCGCAAGCCUGACCCAGCAACGCCGCGUGGGCGACGAAGCCCUUCGGGGUGUAAAGCCCUUUUCUUCGGGACGAUGAUGACGGUACCGGAGGAAGAAGCCCCGGCUAACUACGUGCCAGCAGCCGCGGUAAUACGUAGGGGGCGAGCGUUGUCCGGAAUCAUUGGGCGUAAAGCGCGAGCAGGCGGCUCCGAGAGCCCGGCGUGAAAGCCCCCGGCUCAACCGGGGGAGGCCGUCGGGGACCUCGGGGCUGGAGGCCGGCAGGGGUGAGUGGAAUUCCCGGUGUAGUGGUGGAAUGCGUAGAGAUCGGGAGGAACACCAGUGGCGAAGGCGGCUCACUGGGCCGGACCUGACGCUGAGGCGCGAAAGCGUGGGGAGCGAUCCGGAUUAGAUACCCCCGUAGUC